rnacentral:lncRNA from 1 species
UCCCCCCCUUAAGAACAUUCGUCCCCGAAUGUUCCUCAACUAGCACAUAGCAUGGCAUACAACAUAACAUACACAUAAAACACAUAAGAGGCUAACCUUAGAAAAGAUAAGGGUAUUGCUGGAGCAUGGACUCCCGUGUCUCCCAAGUGCAUUCUUCUAUAUUGUGGUGGUUCCACAGGACUUUCACCAUCGGGAUUUCCUUGUUUCUUAGCUUUCUGAUCUGGGUGUC